ACCAAGUUGCCUAGUUCUGACUUCUGACUACAGAGUUUAAAGUUCGGUGCUGAGAUUUUGCGGCCCAACAGAGCACGUUUUAUGGCCGUAAGAAUAAACAGCAUGGCAAAAACUGGUCGACCAAAGCCGAACACAUCGCUCCAACCGACGACAUCUUGUUGUAAAUUGAGUCAGAGAUGGGGAGUGACCUAGGCAACUAAAAAUUGUACCUACAAAACAUCAGAAUAAUGGGAUGAUGAGUGACAUAGUAGGCAGCUGUAACUUGGACUGAGAUGGGAUCGACUUGGUGAUCAGCAGCGGACUCUCUUUCACGAGCCAAACUUCAAGAUACCUUGAUGGGACUGACAUCAGAUGGCAGUUGAAGAUCUAUGGAUAUGUGGAUAUCUGGUCGUCCAUUGAAUGUCGUCAAAUGGACAAAGAGUUGACCAGAUGCCUGUUGUCUAUGGAAUGUGAUGUGGACGUACAACGGAGUUUCACCAAUGGACUAAGAGUUUCCUUGAAGUAGAUGUUCUGGCAGGCCUUUGUAAGUUGAAGUGUAGAAAUUGAGCAGUACCCGUCUUACACUCUAAAAAGAGUUGUCCACCAUAUGGCUCUUUGCAAGAGUGGUAUGAAGUGUUUUUUCACUCUUUUACACUAAGAGGGUAAUUCCUUUUGUUGCAGCCUAAAUAACAGCCUCUAUUUUUGUCUUUUGUCCACAGAGUUUCCCUGGAAGUAGAUGUUCUGGCAGGUGUUUUGUAAGUGCAGAAAUUGAACAGAAGACUUUGAAACCCCUGUUAUGUCUCUAAUUUGAGGUCACAAUGAGGUCACUGUAGAUGACAUAAGCCUUUCUGAGGUUUGGCAGACACUUUAUGGGUGCACUGUUUGGUUUGGGUGUAUACAGACAAAUUUACCCAAACCUAAUAGUAUCACUUGAGUGUGUGUCCACCACAUCUCAAAAUGGCUUGUGGUUUUGGUUAAGUAUUUGGAGUGUCUCAGGUAACGUAUUUGGAGAACUGACUUUGGGCAAUUGAUGUGACCACAAAAUGCUCAUCGUUUUAGCUAUCAGUUUUCCUUACAGAAUGCAGAUGGUGUCAGAUUGAAGAUGAUGAACAUGUGCUGAAUCUCAGCUGAGGUGAUGACUAUACUUGCAGGGACUGGGGUCUUGCAAAGGAUGUGUUACCUUGUGGAGUUGUGAAUGCAGUCUGACCUGUUUGGAUGAGCAUGGACAGAGUGAGUGGUGACUACAACUGAACUGAACUAUGAACGUUGUUGGAGGGUAACACAGGGAGUGGUGACUACAACUUCAACAUAAACAAUAUUUAAGAGCAGCAGAUAGUGGUGUCUAAAAUCGAACUAUAAACAAUGUUGGACCAUACAGGGAGUGGUGACUACAACUGAACUAUGAACAAUAUUGGACGGCAACAGAGAGUGGUGACUACCAGCGAACCAUGAACAAUAUUUUUGGACGGCAACAGAGAGUGGUGACUCCAACCGAACCAUGAACAAUAUUAUUGGAGGGCAACAGAGAGUGGUGACUACCAGCGAACCAUGAACAAUAUUAUUGGAGGGCAACAGCGAGGGGUGACUCCAACCGAACCAUGAACAAUAUUAAAGGGCAAUAGAGAGUAUUGACUUCAACCGAACCAUGAACAAUAUUAUUGGAGGGCAACAGAGAGUGGCGACUACCAGCGAACAUGAGCAAUAUUAUUGGAGGGCAACAGAGAGUGGUGACAUCAACCGAACCCAAAACAAUAUUGGAGGGCAACAGAGAGUGGUAACAACCGAACUAUGAACAAUAUUGGAGGAUGCAGGGAGUGGUGACUACAGUUGAACUAUGAACAAUAUUGAAGGGCAACAGAGAGUGGUGACUACAACCGAACUAUGAACAAUAUUGGAGGGCAACAGAGAGUGGUGACUACAACCGAACUAUGAACAAUAUUGGAGGGCAACAGAGAGUGGUGACUGUACAACCGAACCAUGAUAUUAUUUGAGGGCAACAGCGAGGGGUGACUACAACCGAACUAUGAACAAUGUUGGAGGGCAACAGGGAAUGGUGACUUCAAGCGUACCUGUUUGGAGGGACAUUGGUGGAGGAUGUGUAAAGAUUCACCAAGAGACCCCUUGGAUAUGAGAUGACGAGAUGACAUCAUGUACUCAUCGAUUCUCUUUGGACUGUGUGCCGCCCGCUGAAGAAGGACUGCAUCAAGUCUAGCCAGAAGACUCUCUGCUCCAAGUUAAACUGUUAAAGGCACAUUGGGAUUCUGAAGAUUUACCUAAUAUUGAACUAUUAUACCACUAGCCCUAGAAGGACUGAGUCAUGUUUAUUAGCCAAUUGACUCUACGCUACAAGCUCAACCGUCUAAGGGACGGCGUGACGGGGAGGCUCAUCAAUGCUUUUUGGACUGUGUUCCACUAGCUGAAGGACUGCUUCAAGUCUAACCAGCUGACUGUCUUCUCCAAGUUCAACUGUCAAUGUGAAGUCUGGAUGCUAAUGCUAUUAUUUUAAACUCGCCAACUGAAAAGCGUGUUAAGUCUAGCAAAGUGACUCUCUACUACAUGUUCAACCGUUCAAUUGAUGGCGGGAUAACCAAUGCUUUUUGGUCUGUGUGCUACCAGUUGAAGGACUGCUCUCUGCUCCAAGUUAAACUGUUCAAGACACCUGUAUUGAUGCCCAGCUGUCCCACAGGGUCCCACAGACAGAGUUUUGGGCAAAGUGAACUGUGACGUCACACCUUCAGAACUAUUUUGGAAACAGACUUUGAAUAAAUUUAUUGGCUUCUCAAUAGACCUUAUGCAUAUGACAUCAUGUGAGUAGGGUGCCCUCGCCUAGAGGUCAAAGGAGGCUGCUCAUUGGCCAGGUCUGUGUGCCUUGCGUAGUACGAUGUGCAUUUUCAGUUGUUUCAUCAUAAGUAACCUCUAUAAGAUGGCAGUUGGACGACAUUAAUAAAUAAGGUCCAUAGUGCUGCUCAUUGGCCAGUUCUGUGUGCCUCACAUACAAUCUGUGCCUUUCCAUUGUUUAUCAUUGUGUACCUCAAACAUGGUGGUUGGAUGACGUCAAUGCAUAAGGUCUAUGGGUUUUUUGUUGAAUCCAUCAAAAUCCAAUACCAUUGUCAGUGUACAAAUCUGUGUAUUUUUCCUUUGUUUCAUCAUAAUUGUCACUUCUAAGAUGGCGGUUUGAUAACGUCAAUGCAAAUUGUCUAUAGGUUUUUGUUGAAUCCAUCAAAAUCCAAUACCAUUGUCAGUGUAGUGAUCUGUGCUCACAUCACUUGAUUUGUUGAAAAUUGGCAUGCUUUGCCUCAUGCCAAGCUUGGUUGGUUUAUAAUAGAAUGUUCAAAUUAAUCAAAUUCAAGUACAAUACCCAUUGGAUUUUGAUGGAGUCGGUGUUGUUUUAAAUACAAACUCUAAAGAUGGUUGACAUUUUUGAAGGACAAAUGAAUCAAUCAAAUCAAGGUAGCAGUAGUUAAAUUUAUAAACUUUAUUUUUUUGCUUGCCAAAACCUGUUAAAAGUAAUGGUUUAAAUUUAAUUGCAGUGGAAGAUUGGGCUAUUAUUAACUAAGUCACCAAAUUGUUCUCAGAGAUGUUAGGAAUCAUGGCAAGUGUUAAGCACAGGUUUAUUUAUUUUAAUGUGUAACAAAGGUUGUAAAAUAAGUUAUUUAAAUUCUU